GCAUUCUCUUCAGUUGCUUGCCAAGGCUUGUUUGUCUUGGUGGAUUGUGGGUUUCCUGUGUUGCCUACCUAAACGAUGGUAUUGAUUGGUUGAUCCUUGUCCCUUUCUUCUAGUGUCAUACAAAUGACACGAGAUGAACCAUGAACCGGUCUCUUUGAUCCACCUUGUCAACGCUAGUGUUGAUUUUGUGGCUCAUUGAGCAUUGGUUGGUCUCCUGGAUACAGAACAUGAUUUGAGCAUGGGGUCUCAUGUUGUCUUUGUUUCGCUUUCAUUCAGUUUGUUCGCUUCUCUUUAAAAAAAAAGACGCCUCGCCCGGAAUGGCACGUUCCCCCGGGGUGGUAAGUCAAAGGGAGGUGCACAUCCUGUUUGACGUGUUCAUGGUGCAUCAUGUGAUCCUUGUAUUGCUCUCGGUUAGCGUUCACGCCUUAUUUGGGCAAUGGGGUCUCAUGUGGUCUUUGUUUCGCAUCCUUACUUCUUGAGAAACUUCCCUUUAAAAAAUAAGACGCCUCGCCCGGAAUGGCACGUUCCCCCGGGGUGGUAAGUCGGAGGGAGGCGCACUCGUUGUUUUGAUGUGGGCACGGCGCCUCAUGUGAUCCUUCUUUGCUCUCGUUUGGCGUUAGCGCUUCUCUUCAAAUGACGGCCUCGCAUGCUAGGGCUCGUACCAGUGUGCCAGGCCAUGUCAAAGAGGAAUGCUAC
rnacentral:misc_RNA from 1 species